UAAAAAGCUCGUAGUUGGAUUUCUGUUGAGAACAGCCGGUCCACCUCUUGGGUGAGUAUCUGGAUUGGUCUCGGCAUCCUCUCGAAACUCGUUGCUGCGCUUGAUUGCGUGGUGCGGUGUUCGGGACUUUUACUUUGAGGAAAUUAGAGUGUUCACGGCAGGCAAUCGCCUUGAAUAUAUUAGCAUGGAAUAAUACUAUAGGAUCUUGGUUCUAUUUUGUUGGUUUCUAGGGCUAAGAUAAUAAUCAAUAGGGACAAUUGGGGGCAUUCGUAUUACGGCGUCAGAGGUGAAAUUCUUGGAUUGCCGUACGACGAACUACUGCGAAAGCAUUUGCCAAGGAUGUUUUCAUUGAUCAAGAACGAAAGUAAGGGGAUCGAAGAUGAUUAGAUACCGUCGUAGUCUUUACCAUAAACUAUGCCAACUAGGGAUGAGGCGUCGUUCUUCUAUGACUCGCUUCGCACCUUAUGAGAAAUCAAAGUUUUUGGGUUCCGGGGGGAGUAUGGUCGCAAGGCUGAAACUUAAAGGAAUUGACGGAAGGGCACCACCAGGAGUGGAGCCUGCGGCUUAAUUUGACUCAACACGGGAAAACUCACCAGGUCCAGA
rnacentral:rRNA from 1 species